AUGGCGCCGGGAUUCACCAGGUUUGAUGUGGAGAAAUUUGAUGGCACGGGUAACUUCGGUCUAUGGCAGACAAGUGUCAAGGAUAUUCUGGCGCAGCAGGGAAUCUUGAAGGGUUUGCAGGAGACGAAGCCGGCCAAGGUUGACAACGAUGCAUGGGAGGAUAUGCAAGUGCAAGCGGCCGCUACCAUACGACUUUGUCUUGCGGAUCAGGUCAUGUAUCAUGUCAUGGACGAAGAUACUCCUAAGGGAAUUUGGGACAAGUUGACAAAAAUCGUUAUAUCUCCAAGUCAGCGACCAAUAAGCUGUAUUUGA
rnacentral:rRNA from 1 species